GUGGGCGUGUUUGUGUUGUUUACUAACAAGACUAUCAUGGCGGCGGCGGAGCUCAAGUCUAGUUUCUCCACCUGGAGAUAUUCUCACUAUUUCACUUUUGUCGAGCACAAAGAAAAUAACGUUUUAGUUAAAUGUAAGUUGUGUCUUGGCGGGUCAAAGAUCCUAUCUACUGCCCAAACCAGUAAUUCAAAUCUCUUAAAACAUCUGCAAAAACAACAUGCUGGGACGAAGCUAGUAACUAAGACCGGCACAGACCCAGACUCAUCCAACGCCACUCCAUCUCCACCUAAGCAACAGCGGCUGGAUUUUAACCAAGGGACUGCUAGCCAGGGUCGAUAAAGCCAUUGCACGAUCCACUUUAAUGAUUAUCAAGCCGUGAUCGCCUUUGUAAAUAUUGAAAGAACACACUGGAAGUUGCUGUACUUAUUUCCUGCUAUAAGAUCAGUAUUUUUGGUGGAUCCAGCGGCAAAUUCCAAAGAGAAAGCAGACUCGGAAAAUGCUGCGAAAAGAGUACGGUAAGUCAGCAAAUUAGAUAUAAAGUGAUCUUAGAAUUAUAUUUAGUGCUUUGUGUUUAAGUAAACAUAAGUAUGUUAACAGAAGUUCCCAAACCCACACCACUGAAGCGGUGGUCUCAGCUGUUUUUUAAAUGAUAUUUCCUUAUCCCGCCCUUAGUAUCUGUGUACACAAUUCUAAAUGAAGUAGCUCAGUAAGCAAGGUAACCUACAAUAUUUUCCAGUGUCCAUACUGUUGGGAUGGAGUGUUUUUAUUUUACACAAUAUUUAAAGAUUUGUAUUCUACAUGUGUCUGUUGGGAGUUACAUUAGAGACUAUUC